rnacentral:rRNA from 1 species
CACGUAGGGCGCGAGCGUUUGUCCGGAAUUAUUGGGCGUAAAGAGCUCGUAGGCGGCCUGUUGCGUCCGCUGUGAAAGCCCGGGGCUUAACCCCGGGUCUGCAGUGGAUACGGGCAGGCUAGAGGUAGGUAGGGGAGAAUGGAAUUCCCGGUGUAGCGGUGAAAUACGCAGAUAUCGGGAGGAACACCGGUGGCGAAGGCGGCCCGCUGGGCAACUGCUGACACUGAGGCGCGACAGCGUGGGGAGCAAACAGG